rnacentral:rRNA from 1 species
UAGAUAAUUUUACAACAAAAUAAUUCGCCAGAGGACUACUAGCAAUAGCUUAAAACUCAAAGGACUUGGCGGUGCUUUAUAUCCCUCUAGAGGAGCCUGUUCUAUAAUCGAUAAACCCCGAUAAACCUCACCACCUUUCGCUAAUUCAGUCUAUAUACCGCCAUCUUCAGCAAACAAA